rnacentral:rRNA from 1 species
UACGUAGGGGGCAAGCGUUGUCCGGAUUUAUUGGGCGUAAAAGGCUUGUAGGUGGCCACGCCAAGUCGGAUGUGAAAUCUCCACGCUCAACGUGGAGGGGCCACCUGAUACUGCCAUGACUGGAGUCCGGUAGAGGAGUGUGGAAUUCCCGGUGUAGCGGUGAAAUGCGCAGAUAUCAGGAAGAACACCCGUGGCGAAGGCGGCUCUCUGGGACGGUACUGACGCUGAGACGCGAAAGCGUGGGGAGCGAACAGG